ensembl:lncRNA
AUGAUGACCCUGGCAUUGCUGACACUUCUGCUGAUCAUGAAUGGUUCUGCAGUGGGAAAAAUGAUGAAAUCUAAUGAGAUGGCCUUUGUUGGACAGGAUGUACUUUUAUCAUUCAACUGUUCUAAUGUCCCAAAAAAUCUGAUAUGGCAGAAAGGUGAGAAACUAGUGAAUGUUCAUCCGCAUGACAAAAGCAUCAUCAAUGAUUCCUACGUAGAUAGGACGCAACUCUUCCUAAACAAGGAGAAGAGAAACUGCUCCCUGCUGCUCCGCAACGUCUCUUCAGGGGAUGCAGGGCUGUACACCUCUCAUGCCUUAGUCAGUGUUAGUGACAACGUCUGGUCAAGGAGGUCAUUAGAAGUUAAUCUAACAGUGUCUGGAAAUGAAAUACCAGCAGAAGACCUGAUUCAAAUGACAAAACAGCUCACUACUUACAAUGGUUCUGCAGUGGGAAAAAUUAUGAAAUCUAAUGAGAUGGCCUUUGUUGGACAGGAUGUACUUUUAUCAUUCAACUGUUCUAAUGUCCCAAAAGAACUGAUAUGGCAGAAAGGUGAGAAACUAGUGAAUGUUCAUCCGCAUGACAAAAGCAUCAUCGAUGAUUCCUACGUAGAUAGGACGCAACUCUUCCUAAACAAGGAGAAGAGAAACUGCUCCCUGCUGCUCCGCAACGUCUCUUCAGCGGAUGCAGGGCUGUACACCUCUCAUGCCUUAUUCAGUGUUGGUGACAACGUCUGGUCAAGGAGGUCAUUAGAAGUUAAUCUAACAGUGUCUGAAAUGAAGAACAGCCCUGAAACAAAAGGCCAAACUGGAGGCAGUUCUGUCACAGCUGUCUCUAUUAGUGUUCCCAUAUUGGUAGUAGCGCUUAUACUGGCUGCUAGCCUGCUUCUAACCCUACUGAUCAGAAGACGACAUCGGCCUAACACGGACACUGAAUUACAGGCUGGGAGACCAAUGCUGGAGAACACCAAUGCUGUGUGAAGUUCUCUUGCUUGAGAGUUUAAGGGACUAACUUCUAUGUUGUAAUGCAAGGUCCUUCACAACAACAAUGGAUAAUAGGAGGCCUUAGCCCUAAACAAAUGCGUUUGCAUAUGGGCAUCCCACAGUGGUGCGUGCCGAUCCGUCUCACUUCGAGACAGAUCAAUGUGCAGUCUUCAGUUGUAACACUGUUUGAUAUAUACCACUGAACUGUGAAUAUACCCUGAAUAUACAUUCUGUAGGCAUUACAGUUUUGUAACUUAACAAGAUUCUCCUUGUAGGAACUGUCUUUAUUCAUUCUUUGAAGAACAGAUGUAAAAGUAGGGGAUGUGCAGUUUAUAUUUACCCUUUUUCCUUUUUCCACAUUGGUGGUCUCAAUCCUAAACAGGCUUUUCAAAUCACCUUAUUUUAAUGUUCAUAUGUGUACAGCAAUCAUUUACUAAGCACACAUCAUGUAAGCUUUUUUUACAUUUACUCCUGUAUGGGUUGAUUUCCUCAGCCUGUGCUGAUUUUCAUUUAUGUGGAAGAAAUAUGUGGCACUCCCUAUGGGAUAUAUUUGCUUUUUUUACUAUACUUAAUGUCAUUUACUUUUAAAUGAAUUUUGUAAAGUGCUUCAAACCUGCAGAGGCAAUAAACCUUUUACAUAUCCAGUUUUGUUUUCUUUU